rnacentral:rRNA from 1 species
AUACGGAGGGUGCAAGCGUUAUCCGGAAUCAUUGGGUUUAAAGGGUCCGUAGGCGGGCUAAUAAGUCAGGGGUGAAAUCCAACAGCUUAACUGUUGAACUGCCUUUGAUACUGUUAGUCUUGAAUUAUAUGGAAGUAGAUAGAAUGUGUAGUGUAGCGGUGAAAUGCUUAGAGAUUACACAGAAUACCGAUUGCGAAGGCAGUCUACUACGUAUAUAUUGACGCUAAUGGACGAAAGCGUGGGGAGCGAACAGGAUUAGAAACCCCAGUAGUCC